GACGAACGCUGGCGGCGUGCUUAACACAUGCAAGUCGAACGGAAAGGCCUCUUUCGGGCGGUACUCGAGUGGCGAACGGGUGAGUAACACGUGAGUAACUUGCCCUUGACUUUGGGUUAACUUCAGGAAACUGGGCCUAAUACCGGAAAGGAGCUCUUGCUGCAUGGGGGGGGCUGGAAAGUUCCGGCGGUUGGGUAUGGCCUGGCGGGCUAUCCGCUUGUUGGUGGGGUAGUGGCUUACCAAGGCCUUGACGGGUAGCCGGCCUGUGAGGGUGAGAGGCGGCAUAGAGUCUGAGGGGCGGCCGAGGUUGCUACGGGUGGCAACUGUGGGGAAGAUUGCACAAGGGAUGGAGGGCUGGUGAAGAAGGGCCGUGGACGGGAAAACGGCCUUAGGGGUGAAGACCGCUUUCGCGCAUGACGAAGCUUUGUGUGACGGUAGUGGGUAAAGAAGCACCGGCUAACUACGUG
rnacentral:rRNA from 1 species